rnacentral:rRNA from 1 species
GAUGAACGCUGGCGGCGUGCCUAAUACAUGCAAGUCGAGCGAACAGACGAGGAGCUUGCUCCUCUGACGUUAGCGGCGGACGGGUGAGUAACACGUGGAUAACCUACCUAUAAGACUGGGAUAACUUCGGGAAACCGGAGCUAAUACCGGAUAAUAUCUUGAACCGCAUGGUUCAAUAGUGAAAGACGGUGUUGCUGUCACUUAUAGAUGGAUCCGCGCCGCAUUAGCUAGUUGGUAAGGUAACGGCUUACCAAGGCAACGAUGCGUAGACGACCUGAGAGGGUGAUCGGCCACACUGGAGCUGAGACACGGUCCAGACUCCUACGGGAGGCAGCAGUAGGGAAUCGUCCGCAAUGGGCGAAAGCCUGACGGAGCAACGCCGCGUGAGUGAUGACGGUCUUCGGAUCGUAAAACUCUGUUAUUAGGGAAGAACAAAUGUGUAAGUAACUGUGCACGUCUUGACGGUACCUAAUCAGAAAGCCACGGCUAACUACGUG